rnacentral:tRNA from 1 species
AAGACUUUAAGUUAAAACAAACUAUUAUCCUUCAAAGCUAAAAAUGAAGACUUAUAUAUCUUUAAGUCUUA